rnacentral:rRNA from 1 species
CUCGUAGGCGGUUUGUCGCGUCUGCUGUGAAAUCCCGAGGCUCAACCUCGGGCCUGCAGUGGGUACGGGCAAACUAGAGUGCGGUAGGGGAGAUUGGAACUCCUGGUGUAGCGGUGGAAUGCGCAGAUAUCAGGAAGAACACCGAUGGCGAAGGCAGAUCUCUGGGCCGUUACUGACGCUGAGGAGCGAAAGCGUGGGGAGCAAACA